rnacentral:rRNA from 1 species
GAUGAACGCUGGCGGCGUGCUUAACACAUGCAAGUCGAACGGAAAGGCCCAAGCUUGCUUGGGUACUCGAGUGGCGAACGGGUGAGUAACACGUGGGUGAUCUGCCCUGCACUUCGGGAUAAGCCUGGGAAACUGGGUCUAAUACCGGAUAGGACGAUGGUUUGGAUGCCAUUGUGGAAAGUUUUUUCGGUGUGGGAUGAGCUCGCGGCCUAUCAGCUUGUUGGUGGGGUAAUGGCCUACCAAGGCGUCGACGGGUAGCCGGCCUGAGAGGGUGUACGGCCACAUUGGGACUGAGAUACGGCCCAGACUCCUACGGGAGGCAGCAGUGGGGAAUAUUGCACAAUGGGCGCAAGCCUGAUGCAGCGACGCCGCGUGGGGGAUGAUGGCCUUCGGGUUGUAAACUCCUUUCGCUAGGGACGAAGCGUUUUUGUGACGGUACCUGGAGAAGAAGCACCGGCUAACUACGUG